AUUGAACGCUGGCGGCAGGCCUAACACAUGCAAGUCGAACGAGUGGCGGACGGGUGAGUAAUGUCUGGGAAACUGCCUGAUGGAGGGGGAUAACUACUGGAAACGGUAGCUAAUACCGCAUACCAUCGGAUGUGCCCAGAUGGGAUUAGCUAGUAGGUGGGGUAAUGGCUCACCUAGGCGACGAUCCCUAGCUGGUCUGAGAGGAUGACCAGCCACACUGGAACUGAGACACGGUCCAGACUCCUACGGGAGGCAGCAGUGGGGAAUAUUGGACAAUGGGCGCAAGCCUGAUGCAGCCAUGCCGCGUGUAUGAAGAAGGCCUUCGGGUUGUAAAGUACUUUCAGCGAGGAGGCGUUACCCGCAGAAGAAGCACCGACUAACUCCGUGCCAGCAGCCGCGGUAAUUC
rnacentral:rRNA from 1 species